rnacentral:rRNA from 1 species
AUUGAACGCUGGCGGCAUGCCUUACACAUGCAAGUCGAACGGUAACAGGUCUUCGGAUGCUGACGAGUGGCGAACGGGUGAGUAAUACAUCGGAACGUGCCUAGUAGUGGGGGAUAACUACUCGAAAGAGUGGCUAAUACCGCAUGAGAUCUACGGAUGAAAGCAGGGGAUCGCAAGACCUUGUGCUACUAGAGCGGCCGAUGGCAGAUUAGGUAGUUGGUGGGAUAAAAGCUUACCAAGCCGACGAUCUGUAGCUGGUCUGGGAGGACGAUCAGCCACACUGGGACUGAGACACGGCCCAGACUCCUACGGGAGGCAGCAGUGGGGAAUUUUGGACAAUGGGCGCAAGCCUGACCCAGCAAUGCCGCGUGCAGGAUGAAGGCCUUCGGGUUGUAAACUGCUUUUGUACGGAACGAAAAGCCCUGGGUUAAUACCCUGGGGUCAUGACGGUACCGUAAGAAUAAGCACCGGCUAACUACGUGCCAGCCGCCGCAGUAACAC